rnacentral:rRNA from 1 species
CCUACGGGUGGCAGCAGUGGGGAAUAUUGGACAAUGGGCGAAAGCCUGAUCCAGCCAUGCCGCGUGUGUGAAGAAGGCCUUCGGGUUGUAAAGCACUUUCAGUGGGGAAGAAAGCCUUGGGGCUAAUACCCUCGAGGAAGGACAUCACCCACAGAAGAAGCACCGGCUAACUCCGUGCCAGCAGCUGCGGUAAUACGGAGGGUGCGAGCGUUAAUCGGAAUUACUGGGCGUAAAGCGCGCGUAGGCGGUCUGAUAAGCCGGUUGUGAAAGCCCCGGGCUCAACCUGGGAACGGCAUCCGGAACUGUCAGGCUAGAGUGCAGGAGAGGAAGGUAGAAUUCCCGGUGUAGCGGUGAAAUGCGUAGAGAUCGGGAGGAAUACCAGUGGCGAAGGCGGCCUUCUGGACUGACACUGACGCUGAGGUGCGAAAGCGUGGGUAGCAAACAGGAUUAGAUACCCUAGUAGUC